CCUACGGGAGGCAGCAGUGGGGAAUAUUGGACAAUGGGCGAAAGCCUGAUCCAGCCAUGCCGCGUGUGUGAAGAAGGCCUUCGGGUUGUAAAGCACUUUCAGUGGGGAAGAAAGCCUUGGGGCUAAUACCCUCGAGGAAGGACAUCACCCACAGAAGAAGCACCGGCUAACUCCGUGCCAGCAGCCGCGGUAAUACGGAGGGUGCGAGCGUUAAUCGGAAUUACUGGGCGUAAAGCGCGCGUAGGCGGUCUGAUAAGCCGGUUGUGAAAGCCCCGGGCUCAACCUGGGAACGGCAUCCGGAACUGUCAGGCUAGAGUGCAGGAGAGGAAGGUAGAAUUCCCGGUGUAGCGGUGAAAUGCGUAGAGAUCGGGAGGAAUACCAGUGGCGAAGGCGGCCUUCUGGACUGACACUGACGCUGAGGUGCGAAAGCGUGGGUAGCUAACAGGAUUAGAUACCCCAGUAGUC
rnacentral:rRNA from 1 species